rnacentral:rRNA from 1 species
GCCUUCAUGAAGCCGGAAUUGCUAGUAAUGGCAGGUCAGCAUACUGCCGUGAAUACGUUCCCGGGCCUUGUACACACCGCCCGUCACACCAUGAGAGUUGGAGAUACCCGAAGCCUGUGAGCUAACAAACGAGGCAGCAGUCGAAGGUAGAAUCAAUGAUUGGGGUGAAGUCGUAACAAGGUAGC